UAUGUUGACCUCAUUACCCUAAAAACACCAAAUCGUGUGUGAUCUUGGGUACUAAGCAGGGUCAGGCCCGGUUAGUAUUUGGAUGGGAGUCCAUUUUGGAGUCGAUGAAACUUGCAUGU
rnacentral:rRNA from 11 species